rnacentral:rRNA from 1 species
AACGAACGCUGGCGGCAUGCCUAACACAUGCAAGUCGAACGAUUGCCUUCUGGUGAUGGUGGCGCACGGGUGCGUAACGCGGGGGAAUACGCCUGUAGGUUCGGACUAACAGCUGGAGACGGCUGCUAAUACCGGAUGAUAUCGCCAGAUCAAAGAUUCAUCGCCUGAGGCUGGGCCCGCGUUGGCUUGGGUAGGUGGUGGGGUAAGGGCCUACCAAGCCGACGAUGCAUAGCUGGUCUGAGAGGAUGAUCGGCCACUCUGGGACUGCGACCCGGCCCAGUCUCCUACGCGGGGCUGCAGUGGGGAAUACUAGACAAUGGGCGCAAGCCUGAUCCCGCCAUGCCGCGUGAGUGAGGAAUCCCCUAGUGUUGUAAAGCUCUUUUACCCGAGACGAUAAUGACUGUACCGGGAGAAUAAGCCCCGGCUAACUCCGUG